GCUGGUUGGCAUUGUGUUCUUGGCUCAUGCCAGCUCUGUAUUGUUAACCAUACCAGGAUGUCAGCAUAGUUG
rnacentral:pre_miRNA from 1 species